UUCAAUUUUGUGAUAUUACUCUUUGCUUAAUACACCUCUUCUACAGGGACGGAUUGAAUACAAAUAUUGUCCACAGACCUGCUGCAGAUAAGGAAAGGUCUUUUGUCAGCUGCUGAAGGUGCAUGAAGCCAGGACAGGAGGGAAAGGGCCGAGGUGGGGCUGCAUGAGCUGGCCUCUGUCACGGGGGCCAAGACUCUGCGUGUGAUCACUUGCUGGCUGGACCCUGACUGUGACACUGAUCUAUGUGGAUGCAGUAAUUGUGAUGUUUCCAGGAAAUAGCUGCCUUGCAGUGUGCGCACAUGGAAUGGACGUUGAGCUGGGUGAGAUCUGAAGGCAUGCAGUCCUCCCCUGUCAUCAGAACAGUGCAGCCUACCUGGAAGGGUCAAAGUGACAAAAAUAGCCAGAUAUAAAUGGGAAGAUACCCAUGUAUGUGCUUUCCUCAGGGUAGGAAGUUGUAAGUGAGGCCAUGGAUGCUGAUUUUGCUACCCCAUUGUGGAUUCUGCAUAUUUUACAUUUUCCCAACUAUUUCUCCUUUUAUUCCCCUCAAAGGAAAUGAACUUGACAACCCUCCAACAUUUUCAUAAUUUAGGAUCAAAAUACUCUUUAUUUUGUGGCUUUUUUUACACAUUUCUGCAUUCACUUCUUAAUUCUCUGACAGCUAAUGCACAGUAUUCACAGGAGAUGAAGUUUAGAACUUGAGAAACUUAGAAAUAACUACUAAAAUAGAUUUUAUCUCUCUAAAAGUUUUAUGAGGUUUAGGCUGGAUAUACGAAUAAUUUUAUUUCUCGGAUCUAAAAGAAAAUGCUCUGUGUCUUAUUGCUCCUGGACUUUUUUUUUCCCCCAUAACAGAUAGACAUUUAAGGUAUAAUAUUUGAGCAGAGCACCUGAAAGAAUCUUUGAAUCUUGAAUAUUAUUAGCAAAGCAACUUUAGGGUGGGAAAAAAGAGGAAACAGCUAUUAAAAAGGAUGUUCCCAAUGUGGUUCUUAUAGUCAGCUGUUUGAGUUCUGAGGUAUCUGAGUGAAUUAAGUCACAGACAAAAAUAGAGCUUAAUGAGAAUUCAGUCUUACUGUGUGCUUGAACUUUUACUCCUAGAAGAGUUUUUUUUAGAA